CGAACACUGUUAACCGUUUUGUGUUCUAAUUUCACUGAUGCAACACUAAAACUCACAUGAUACUGAUUUUACGAGGCUGUGUUUCCCCCCCAUCAACACCCUGGAACACUUUUACUGUUUUGUGUUCUAAUUUCACUGACGCAACACUAAAACUCACACGAUACUGAUUUUACGAGGCUGUGUUUCCCCCCCAUCAACACCCUGGAACACUUUUACUGUUUUCUGUUCUAAUUUCACUAACGCGACACAAUGCACUGUUUACGCUUCCCCCAUACCACUGAGACCCGGGGAUGCAGUUUGACGAUCAUUUUACUUUGAUGAUCAUUUUACGAGUGUUGUAUGGAAAGCAAGCACUGCCGUGAACACACAAACUAACACACCGCCUCGGCACUCUUCAGAAGCUUCGGCUAGUGGGCGUACGGCACUAGGCUCGGCACGGAUGACACGAACGGGAAGUUGACGAAACAUAAUGCCUGGUUUGAACUCAAUGUAGGUUGCAGUGAGACCUUAUUGCUCGGAGCGGGGUAGAAAACGGCGCGCUAAAAUGUCACUACUAACGAAAUGGGUCAUUCUUCCGAACCCUAAAGAAACUAGGUAAGAUUACGAGGCUUUGGCUUGUCAACGAAGAAAAAAUUGUGUUUGGUACGAGCGGAAUGUUUCGUUUACGUAAUGGCUCUGUUUUGCCGCCUCUAUUACAAGCAACAUACUUUUUCACUCUCCUUCUUUAGCGAUUGUGGGAAAGUGUCAAAUCAAAGCCAACUCCAGAAUCAGGGAAAACACGGGAGAUUUCCAACUCAGACCAGGACGCAAGCUUGUACCUAGUCUGGCUGGGGAGAAAUCCUAAGCCACCUGUGACAUCAAGAUCAAGUGUGUUUGCCCUUUUCCAACAGGUGUACAAAUCAAAACAGUGACUCUCCUUCAAGUCAAAGCCAACUACAGAAUUAGGAAAGCACAUGAGACUCCCAACCCAGACCAGGACCAAGCUUGUACCUAGUGUUUGCCCUUUUCCAACAGGCUCACAAAUCAAAACAUUCAACACAGUAAAGGGAUGGUGUCUAAUGUUUCUCCUUUUCCAACAGGUUUUAAUCAAUCGAGUGUUUCAAGGCUUCCGUACACAAUUCUAUGUCUCGUAACUUUUCACAUCUGAGCCAAAAUGAGUCGUAAUAAUGCGUUUGUCAAUCAACUAGUACAGGGCUAACUCACACCACUGUCUCGUAAAUUCCGCAUCCAUUCCAGCAAAAAUAAUGUCGCUCAAUCAAAUAGUUCAAUGGUCACACACACCUUGUCUUGUAACUUUCCGCCUCAAUUCCAGCAAAAAUAGAUAAUCAACUCAAUCAAAUUAUUCAAGGGUAACAGAACUAUUUCAAACACAUUACACACACACACACACCAUUCUGUCUCGUAACUUUCCGCUUCAAAUCCAGAAAAA